CAACCACUAUGGGAAUCCAAAAGAAGAUGUUUUCGAGAAUCAUAGGACCUUAGCACAGCCUUUCUUUGCCAAGGCAGAGAUCACAGCACAGUUUGAAAGCUUCAAGCAUCAGAUGUACAUUAGAAAGUUACCUUGUUUUUAUGACACACAUAGUUUGAUAAUGAUUACUAACAGAAGAUGCUGGAGGAAGCAGUGAAAUUCAACAUGACAGAGAGGUGAAAAAGAUAUCUUCACUAUCUUCCAAGAUGAUGAUGUUAUGAGAGUCUCCUAUCCUGCCAUGGCCUUCCUGGUGGAUCUCAGCCAGCUGCUGCCAACAUCCACUGCCUGUGUGGAGAGGCUGUUCAGCCUACUGAACUCCUUAUGCACCCCAGCCAGAUCAACACUUGGCCAGAUCAAACUUGAGGCCCUGAUUCGCAUCUGCUGCUGGAACAAGGACCUUGUGAACACUGACAUUGAUGCCAUUAUAGACAUUUUUAAACUCAAGAGAAGAGACAUUGCUCUUUAAAAUUGUUGACUUGAGUAAAAUAAAUUGUUAAACUAACAGUGCUUACUUUGGUUUCUAUUGAUUAUUCAUGAAAUUAAGUUGCUAAUAUUCUUCAUUGUCACAUUUCAUUUUCCCCAAACCAAGG
rnacentral:lncRNA from 1 species